rnacentral:rRNA from 1 species
UGGGGAAUAUUGCACAAUGGGCGAAAGCCUGAUGCAGCGACGCCGCGUGAGUGAAGAAGUAUUUCGGUAUGUAAAGCUCUAUCAGCAGGGAAGAAAAUGACGGUACCUGACUAAGAAGCCCCGGCUAACUACGUGCCAGCAGCCGCGGUAAUACGUAGGGGGCAAGCGUUAUCCGGAUUUACUGGGUGUAAAGGGAGCGUAGACGGCGAAGCAAGUCUGAAGUGAAAACCCAGGGCUCAACCCUGGGACUGCUUUGGAAACUGUGUUGCUAGAGUGUCGGAGAGGUAAGUGGAAUUCCUAGUGUAGCGGGGAAAUGCGUAGAUAUUAGGAGGAACACCAGUGGCGAAGGCGGCUUACUGGACGAUAACUGACGUUGAGGCUCGAAAGCGUGGGGAGCAAACAGG